rnacentral:rRNA from 1 species
UACAGAGGGGGCAAGCGUUGUUCGGAAUUAUUGGGCGUAAAGAGCUUGUAGGCGGUCUGUCGCGUCUGCUGUGAAAAUCCGGGGCUCAACCCCGGACUUGCAGUGGGUACGGGCAGACUAGAGUGUGGUAGGGGAGACUGGAAUUCCUGGUGUAGCGGUGAAAUGCGCAAAUAUCAGGAGGAACACCGAUGGCGAAGGCAGGUCUCUGGGCCACUACUGACGCUGAGAAGCGAAAGCAUGGGGAGCGAACAGG